ACGGCCCAGACUCCUACGGGAGGCAGCAGUGGGGAAUAUUGGACAAUGGGCGAAAGCCUGAUCCAGCCAUGCCGCGUGAGUGAUGAAGGCCUUCGGGUCGUAAAGCUCUGUGGGGAGGGACGAAAAAGCGUGACCUAAUACGUCUCGCCUUGACGGUACCUCCUUAGCAAGCACCGGCUAACUCCGUGCCAGCAGCCGCGGUAAUACGGAGGGUGCAAACGUUGCUCGGAAUUAUUGGGGCGUAAAGCGCACGUAGGCGGUCCGCUAAGUCGGAUGUGAAAGCCCUCGGCUUAACCGAGGAAGUGCAUCCGAAACUGACGGGCUAGAGUACGGAAGAGGGUUUCGGAAUUCCCGGUGUAGAGGUGAAAUUCGUAGAUAUCGGGAGGAACACCAGUGGCGAAGGCGGAAACCUGGGCCGAUACUGACGC
rnacentral:rRNA from 1 species